rnacentral:rRNA from 1 species
GACGAACGCUGGCGGCGUGCCUAAUACAUGCAAGUAGGACGCAGUUGCGAACGGGUGAGUAACGCGUAGGUAACUACCUAUUAGAGGGGGAUAACUAUUGGAAACGAUAGCUAAUACCGCAUACUAGUAGAUGGACCUGCGUUGUAUUAGGUAGUAGGUAGGGUAAUGGCCUACCUAGGCAACGCUACAUAGCCGACCGGAGGGGGGGAUCGGCCACACUGGGACUGAGUCACGGCCAAGAAUCCUACGGUAGGCAGCAGGAGGAAAUCUUGGGCAAUGGGGGGCACCCUGACCGAGCAACGCCGCGGGAGUGAAGAAGGUUUUCGGAUCGUAAAGCUCUGUUGUUAAGGAAGCGGUACUUAACCAGAAAGGGACGGCUAACUACGUGCCAGCAGCCGCGGUAAUUC